GCUAAGGAAUGGCCAUGAGGACAGAGGGGGUGGGGAGGGGUAGAGCUUAGGUCUGGAGAGAUUUUCAGGAAGGCAGACCAACUGUCCCCCAGAGGAAGAUCAAGGGGUUAAGUGCGUGAACUGGGAGAGGGACACACACACACACACACCUCUCUGAAUUUCAUCAGUUUUUCCGUUUUUAAAACUCUUGUCUCUGAAACAGGAACUUGCCUUGAGGCUCCUGAACCGAGGGGCACAGGGCUAGCCUCCCUCCUCCUCGCUGUCACCUCGUCCUUGUCAGCGGCUGGCCGGCCGAGGUGGCUGCUACUGGCUGGUGAGGAGCUGGCUCCCUUGUGCAGGGAGCCUUGUGCUUCCCAAACCAGGGCGGGAAAGAAAGGCAUUGCCCUUUGCUGUAAAAACCUCCAGGGCCAAGACAAGGGACAAUGAAAAGUAUCUGGGUUUCUGUUGAGAAAGCAGAAGCCUUUUGUAACCGAGGUGCGAAUCAUUUCACAAGGUCAUUGCUGGGAAUGAUGAAGAUUGUCUCGGGUACACAGAACCCCUGGGAAUGCUUGUUAAAUUUUCUUUUCCUCCUUUGUUGCUGUCAGCGAAUCCAUUUACAGGCAGAGGAAUGAAUUGAAUGAAAUCAUUUCUGCCCCCCGCCCCACCCUCAAUAGCUUCUCCAGUCUCUUGGUUUCUAAUCGGCUGAGGACUGGGAGACCACACAACGGGACCUUCUGAAAUGAGGUCUUCAAUCAGAGUCAAUAAGCAGGGACUUUGGCAACUCAGAGGCCCUUCCCCUCUUACUUUCUGGCUCGGAGUUUUGUUCCAGAGGUUGAAGUUACCAGAAGGUGACCCGCAGGUCAGGACCAUGUUCCUGUCUCCGUCUCUUUGGCAAGCCAGGACCUUGAAGCCUUCUGACAUCAGGUGCUAGAGCGUCCAUUUGGCUGUUUGUCCAAUUAUCGCAUGUGCAGCAUCAUUAGGUUUUAGGUGUAAGGAUACAAUUAGCUUGUUAUUACUUGAUUACUAAAUGAAACUCACGCCGGACUGGGCUUAAUUCUGCAGCCUAGUGCUACACUUAAUUUUAACAAUGUUUGGCAGACAUGUGGAGUCAUCAUACAAAUUAUGAUGAAAUAUGAAAGAAGAUUCCUCAGCAAAUUACCUGUCUCCAGUGACUCACACUGAAUCGCACUAGGUCUCGGGUUCAAACUGCUCAUCAGGUUUCGUAUAUGUUUUCCAGUGGCCGGAGUUUUAAUGUGAAUGGAUACAAAAUUGGCUAAAAUUUCUUUAAAAAUGUAUCCACAGACUGACAAGUAUUUUUAAAUUGAAGAUAAAGUUAGCUGUAUUUUUUUUAAACCACAAAGCAGCUAUGAGAUCUCUGAGUUUUACAUUGAAACCCAGUUAUUCACUUAUAAAAUAAACAUUUUGUCUCUUAUCAUCAAAUAAUACAAGCAUCUUGAGGAAUUCUUGGACAAUUCAGAAAUAGGACAGGUUUUAAAAAAAUAAGAUAUUUGCUCACUCUUACUCCUUUGUACCUCUUGAACUUUGGACUGUGUGCACGUAUUCCCUAUUAACAAAAUAAUGGGAGGACAUAAAUCCAUCUGUCCAAAUAUCCGGUUUGAUUGUCUUUGUUUUGUAAUCAUCAGCUUGUGUUGGGAACUGCUGAUGUAAGAGGCAGCCUGCUUCAGUGACCUCCACAGGCAUCUCUUGGGAUAAACCAGAUAGAAUUUAUUCCAGAUACAACUUUGACCAUAUUCGCCUCCAGGAUUUUCUCAUCGCAGCCCCCAGGCAAGGCUUGGUGUUGAAGAAAUGGAUUAUGUAACUAGUCUAAGCAAACAUAAAGUGACAUAAAGCAGUAAAUCAUGGUCAGGGACCCAAA